GACAGGAGGGUGCAACGUUGUUCGGAAUUACUGGGCGUAAAGCGUGUGUAGGUGGCUGCGAAAGUCGGAUGUGGAAGCCCUGGGCUAACUCAGGAAGUGCACCCGAUACUGCGUAGCUAGGAGUACCGGGAGAGGUUGGUGGAAUUCUCGGUGUAGAGGUGAAAAUUCGUAGAUAUCGAGAGGAACACCUGUGGCGAAGGCGGCCAACUGGACGAGUACUGACACUGAGAGCACGAAAGCGGUGGGGAGCAAACAGG
rnacentral:rRNA from 1 species